AAUGGCUGCAGUAAUUUGACUGUACAAAGGUAGCAUAAUCAUUAGUUUUUUAAUUAAAAGCUUGUAUGAAAGGUUGGACGAAAUAAAAUCUGUCUCUUUUUAAAAAAAAUUAGAAUUUUAUUUUUAAGUUAAAAAGCUUAAAUUUUUAUAAAAGACGAGAAGACCCUAUAGAGUUUUAUAAUUUUAAUUUAGUAAUUAAUUUAGAUUUAUUUAUUUUAUUUUAUUUAAAAUUAUUUUAUUGGGGUAAUAAAAAGAUUAAAAAAAUUCUUUUUUAUAUAAAUCAUUAAUAUAUGAAAAUUUAUGAUCCAUUAAGUUUUGAUUAUAAGAUUAAAUUACCUUAGGGAUAACAGCGUAAUUUUUUUUUAGAGUUCUUAUCGAUAAAAAAGUUUGCGACCUCGAUGUUGGAUUAAAGAUUAAUUUAGGUGUAGAAGUUUAAAUUUUUGGUCUGUUCGACCAUUGAAUCUUUACAUGAUCUGAGUUCAAACCGGUGUAAGCCAGGUCGGUUUCUAUC
rnacentral:rRNA from 1 species